AAAGUCAUGGUUAAGUGGGAAACGAUGUGGGAAGGCCCAGACAGCCAGGAUGUUGGCUUAGAAGCAGCCAUCAUUUAAAGAAAGCGUAAUAGCUCACUGGUCGAGUCGGCCUGCGCGGAAGAUGUAACGGGGCUAAACCAUGCACCGAAGCUGCGGCAGCGACGCUGAUGCGUUGUUGGGUAGGGGAGCGUUCUGUAAGCCUGCGAAGGUGGCCUGUGAGGGUUGCUGGAGGUAUCAGAAGUGCGAAUGCUGACAUAAGUAACGAUAAAGCGGGUGAAAAGCCCGCUCGCCGGAAGACCAAGGGUUCCUGUCCAACGUUAAUCGGGGCAGGGUGAGUCGACCCCUAAGGCGAGGCCGAAAGGCGUAGUCGAUGGGAAACGGGUUAAUAUUCCCGUACUUGGUGUUACUGCGAAGGGGGGACGGAGAAGGCUAUGUUGGCCGGGCGACGGUU
rnacentral:rRNA from 1 species